CAGCAUGCCACGGUGAAUACGUUCCCGGGCCUUGUACACACCGCCCGUCACACCAUGGGAGUUGGCUUUACCCGAAGAUGGUGCGCUAACCCGCAAGGGGAGCAGCCAGCCACGGUAAGGUCAGCGACUGGGGUGAAGUCGUAACAAGGUAGCCGUAGGGGAACCUGCGGCUGGAUCACCUCCUUU
rnacentral:rRNA from 1 species